UACGUAGGGUGCGAGCGUUGUCCGGAAUUAUUGGGCGUAAAGAGCUUGUAGGCGGUCUGUCGCGUCUGCUGUGAAAAUCCGGGGCUCAACCCCGGACUUGCAGUGGGUACGGGCAGACUAGAGUGUGGUAGGGGAGACUGGAAUUCCUGGUGUAGCGGUGAAAUGCGCAGAUAUCAGGAGGAACACCGAGUGGCGAAGGCAGGUCUCUGGCC
rnacentral:rRNA from 1 species